rnacentral:rRNA from 1 species
AGAGUUUGAUCAUGGCUCAGGAUGAACGCUGGCGGCGUGGAUAAGGCAUGCAAGUCAAGGGGGCCCGCAAGGGCAACCGGCGAACGAGGUAGUAACACGUAGGUACGCACCCUAAAGUCGGGCAUAGCUCGCCGAAAGGCGGGGUAAUUUCCGAUACGGUGGAAACACCAAAGUAGCAAUACGCUUUAGGAGCGGCCUGCGGGCUAUCAGCUUGUUGGUAGGGUAAUGGCCUACCAAGGCGAUGACGGCUAGGGGGGGUGAGAGCCUGUUCCCCACCGAUGGAACUGAGACACGGUCCAUACACCUACGGGUGGCUGCAGUCGAGAAUCUUCCGCAAUGGGCGAAAGCCUGACGGAGCGACGCCGCGUGAUUGAUGAAGUCCCUAGGGACGUAAAGAUCUUUUAUGAGGGAGAAAGUUUAUUGAUAGUACCUCAUGAAUAAGGGGUUGCUAAACUCGUGCCAGCAGCAGCGGUAAUACGAGUGCCCCAAGCGUUAUCCGGAAUCACUGGGCGUAAAGCGUGUGUAGGCGGCUAUGUUAGUCCUUUGUAAAAUUCUUCGGCUUAACCGGGGGACCGCGGGGGAAACGGCAUGGCUUGAGGAUGUGAGGGGUGCAUGGAACUCAUGGUGUAGGGGUGAAAUCCGUUGAUAUCAUGGGGAACACCAAAAGCGAAGGCAGUGCACUGGCACAUUCCUGACGCUCAAACACGAAAGCGUAGGUAGCGAAUGGGAUUAGAUACCCCAGUAGUCUACGCCCUAAACGAUGAUCGCUGGUUUUUCGGAGUAUCGACCCUCUGAGAGACGAAGCUAACGCGUUAAGCGAUCCGCCUGGGUAGUACGGCCGCAAGGCUAAAACUCAAAGGAAUAGACGGGGACUUGCACAAGCAGUGGAUUAUGUGGUUUAAUUCGAUGGUAAACGAAAAACCUUACCAAGGCUAGAAAUGGAGACGAAUCCUUCCAGAAAUGGUUGGAGCCGAAAGGCGGCUUCACAGGUGAUGCAUGGCCGUCGUCAGUUCGUGAUUUGAGUUGUUCCCUUCAGUGGGGUAACGAACGCAACCCUCGUUGCCUGUUAUAUUUGUCAGGCGAGACUGCCCCCAUUUUUGUUUAGGAUGUUUUGCAUCAUAAAUAAAAAUGGGGGAGGAAGGCGAGGAUGACGCCAGGUCAGCAUGUCCCUCUGAUGCCUUGGGCUACACACAUAAUACAAUCGCCACUACAACGGGUCGCGACGGGGUAACCCUGAGCUAAUCCUAAUAAAAGUGGCGCCAGUUCGGAUUGGGGGCUGAAACUCGACCCCAUGAAGCCGGAAUUGCUAGUAAUCGCGGGUCAGCUAUACCGCGGUGAAUACGUUCUCAAGUCUUGUACUCACCGCCCGUCAAGUCAAGGGAGUUGGGAGUACCCGAAGUCCCCGCUUUUGUGGGGCCUAAGGUAAAUUCAAUGACAGGGACUAAGUCGUAACAAGGUA